GGAUGAACCCUUGGAGAGACUCGAAAUAGAGCACCGAAGGAGCAAGUUAUAUGAGAAAUCAUAUGGUGAAACUCUCAGGUAAAAGGACAGGGGACAGAUA
rnacentral:ncRNA from 2 species